CUACCGUGAUGAGCUUCCACUUCUGGUCCGUGUUUAUGAAAGCCGUGAUUUUCCUUUGAAGUUCUGAGUCU